rnacentral:sRNA from 1 species
UGUCGGCGCAGCUUCUCCUGGGCACUAC